rnacentral:lncRNA from 1 species
UCUGGCUGCUUCUGCUUCAGUAGAAAGAGCUCCGGCAGCAUCUAUUACUGAUGAGGCAGCUUCCGAGGGACCAUCGCAGGUAACAGAUCCUCAAGAAAAACCGCAGGAUCCGGGCACUCCGGAAACAAAUGUUCCAGGUACAUCAGCUGCUCAGGAAACGAAUGUUCCAGCAACAUUACCUGCUCAGGAAACAACUGUUCCAGCUACAUUACCAAUUGAGUGAGAGUGAUAAACUUGCUUAACUAGCAAUCUGAGUAAAAAUCCUUCUAUUAAUUCUUUCAAUUUU